GAACGUCUAAGAGAAAGUUAUUACUAUAAAAGACCAAUAAGUGACGAGAUUAGUUUACUUUCUGAUUCAUUAAUCCAAAAAUAUUGAUUAGCAUAUAUAGGUCAGGAGUUAAUACCAUAUUCUAGGAGCUGGUAUCAAAGAAAACACAGCUGGACAUUAGUUAAAUCAAUAAAAACAGAUUUUAUUCACUUACUACUGACAGUAGGGGAAAGAGCUGCGCUCAUUCUGAUGUUUGCAGGUAACUGGGCAUUUUAAAGAAAGAAUGAGGGAAAGAGAGGGUAGGGAGUCCAGCAGAGCCAGGAAGUAAAAUUUACAAAGGAUUGGUCAGUGUAAACGCAAUUAGGCCAGCUUUUCUGCUAGCUGGCCAUUAUAGAAGAAAGGGUUCUAUUGUCCCAAAGAGACUGGGAUGCAGAGGCCUGUCCUCCUUGAUGAUUAAUUACAUUUCAAAUGAAUGGCUUUCAUGUCCUUAAAAAAGACACUUCUGAGUUAUAGGUGAUACAUACAUAGCUCAAAGGGACAGAGAAAGUAUUCAUAAAUGUAAGCUAUUUUUGGUAAUUGCCCUAAGGGAGGUCGGGGCCUAUCUCCUAUGUUGGCUAUAACAAGUAGUCUACGGCUACAACAAGCAGUCUAUCUAUUCUCCCGGCAGUGCUGAUCAUUUCUCAGGAAGGCUAUAUACCUUUAAGGCACAGUUCACGGUUCACCUGCCUUGGAUAUGAUUAUAGAAAAAUCAAAGCGCACUGCAGUUUGAGACGUGAUCUUCAUUCUUCUACUCACAAGAAAAAAAUUCUCAUGGAAGUGGUUUGCAAUACCUCUUGCAUGCCACAAAAAGGUAGACUGUUUUUUUUUUUUCUUCUUUUGAUAGUAAAUAUAUUGGACUUGUAGCAUGGAAAAGGGAUUACCUUUAUGUUGCUGCAUUCCUGAGAUGUGGGAGACUUUACUGCAGCCUGUGAUGAUACAAUAACGAAUAUACUAUCUUAGAGUUAAUAAAAUAAUAGCUAGUACUUUUAAAAAGAAAGCAUUCUCAUUCCAGGCCCAGUGCUAGAUUAUUUAUAUACCUCUGCCCCCUGAUGUUAAAUAAGCAAUAUUAACACAUUUAUGUGGAAUGGGAGCAUCUUUAUAACAACCAUGUGCAUUGCCUAGAUAAUUACACCAAUUUUACAGUGUUGGAAACUAAAACUCAUGAGAAUUCUGUGCAGUGCCCAAGGGUCCCCAGCUAAUGGUCUGUCUGACUUCAAAGUCGGUUCUCUUUUACGCUGCCAUCUUGCCCCCUGGCUCACCUCACACUUUUAAAGCAUCCUCUGACUUUGCCUUCAACUUGUGACAAGUUUUGACUUCUUUUAGAGUGAACAUUUCAAAGGAAAAUAAAUUGCUUGCACUGUGCCUCUGGGAAGUGACAAACUGUUACACUGAGAAUAG
rnacentral:lncRNA from 1 species